UGAAGUAUUUUCCUUUUUAAAAAAAAAACAAUUUCAAUUUUAUGUUGCAGAAGUUUAAAAGCUCCAACCUAACCAGUCUAGUACAUGCAAUUACUAGGAAUUGGAAGCCGACUUUACGAGAAAUUUGCUCCUGGUUAGUCUUACUACAUCACGAGUUUUUUGCAAUAUUAAAGACUUUCGGUCCUUAGGCUGAGGACUCUACCUUCC
rnacentral:lncRNA from 1 species